CUCUAUACAUGCUGGGGGACAGUGAGGCCAUCGUCCUUCCCAGAGUGACCACCUGGCCUCCCGGAGACAUGGUCUGAAGACACACAUACAGAGGCCCAUUGGGGUGUGUCACCUGCACAAGGCACAGUUGUGCGCACUGCAGAGCUCCUGUCACUCAUCAUGCACAUUGGCUGACACCCAUGACAGCACUGUGACACUACCACAACAGCCACGCCACCACCACCAUGUCACCCAUGACACCCUAAUUUUACCCUCACACAUUACAUGUGGCACGCAGUGGCCCGGCCCCUACUGACGGAGGCCCGGUGCUGUGACCCAGCAGUACAGAUGAGGUGCUGUCCCUGGAGGAGAAGGACCUGAGGGACCGGGAGAGGCGCAUGGCCAAUAACGCUCGGGAGCGGGUGCGCGUGCGGGACAUUAACGAGGCCUUCCGGGAGCUGGGCCGCAUGUGCCAGCUGCACCUCAAGUCGGAUAAGGCGCAGACCAAGCUGCUGAUCCUGCAGCAGGCGGUGCAGGUUAUCCUGGGCCUGGAGCAGCAGGUGCGAGGUAGGCUGCGCCCGCCCCGGUCUAUUCCAUCCUCCGCUGCUGCUGGCCAGGGUGGCCACGGCACAGUCCUACCCCUCUCUGUCCCCACCCGAGGACCGUCUCCCACUGCUCUCUUCUUCCCCACUCCCCCAGAACGCAACCUGAACCCCAAAGCAGCCUGCUUGA
rnacentral:lncRNA from 1 species